rnacentral:rRNA from 1 species
GUGGGGAAUUUUGGACAAUGGGGGCAACCCUGAUCCAGCCAUGCCGCGUGUGUGAAGAAGGCCUUCGGGUUGUAAAGCACUUUCGGACGGAACGAAAUCGCGCGGGUGAACAAUCCGCGUGGAUGACGGUACCGUAGGAAGAAGCACCGGCUAACUACGUGCCAGCAGCCGCGGUAAUACGUAGGGUGCGAGCGUUAAUCGGAAUUACUGGGCGUAAAGCGUGCGCAGGCGGCGCCGCAAGUCAGGCGUGAAAUCCCCGAGCUUAACUUGGGAAUGGCGCUUGAAACUACGGUGCUGGAGUGUGGCAGAGGGAGGUGGAAUUCCACGUGUAGCGGUGAAAUGCGUAGAGAUGUGGAGGAACACCGAUGGCGAAGGCAGCCUCCUGGGCCAACACUGACGCUCAUGCACGAAAGCGUGGGGAGCAAACAGGAUUAGAAACCCUUGUAGUCC